UUUAAACAUAGAGUACCAAUUGAUAAACAUAAGAGUGCUUAGCAUAACAUAAGUUUGAACACAUAAACUUACACAAGUCUUAACAAGAGUCCUCUCUCUUAACAAACAAAGACUUGUGUUAACCGAAAUAAGAAAAAUAGAUAGGUAGGGAAGACAAAUUUUUUAGCACAUGAACUCAGAACGUGCGAGGUCGAGAAUCUCAUGGACGGGAGGUCGAGGUAAUGAGCCUCUUAAGCUUAGCAAUCUCUUCA
rnacentral:lncRNA from 1 species